GGAAAAGUUGUGGCUGUAAGAGGUGUGCUUUUUCUGAGGCUCUGAUGGCAUCCAGUAGACCUUCACUGAUACUGAGCACGACCUCUAUCUCCGAGGAAGAAUUCUACUGACUCUCAGGGAAAGCAACAGCAAGGAGUCCAUCUCUACAAGGACAUUACUUUCACUGGUUCACAUUUGAUCUAUUUCUUUGGUUCUCAUUGCAUCUGACAUGAAGAGAGUGUGCGCUUCUGUGAAGACAGAAAUACUGAUAACACCACAGCAGGACUGCUACUGCGUCGCUCAGAAAAACACAACAAUGCACUUUCAA